rnacentral:rRNA from 1 species
GACGUAGGGCGCGAGCGUUGUCCGGAAUUACUGGGCGUAAAGCGUGCGCAGGCGGUUUCUUAAGUCAGAUGUGAAAGCCCCGGGCUUAACCUGGGAACUGCGUUUGAAACUGGGAGACUUGAGUGUGGCAGAGGGGGGUGGAAUUCCACGUGUAGCAGUGAAAUGCGUAGAUAUGUGGAGGAACACCGAUGGCGAAGGCAGCCCCCUGGGUUAACACUGACGCUCAUGCACGAAAGCGUGGGGAGCAAACAGG